GGAUCAGUGGCAGACCCAAUAAGGAAAAAGGUGGGUCAGUUGACCCAGGUUAAAUCUACAAAUAACAUUUAAUGCAGACGAUUCUUUAAAGAGAUACUAGCACAGUUGGCAAAUUCCACAUUAUUGACACCCCCUUUGAACGAGUUCAAACCUUCCCUCUUACACUUUUGUGUAAUUUUUCUUCUUUUACAUGUUAAAAAAAUAUCUAUGACCCAGGUAAAAAUAAAUCCUGGGUCCGCCAUUGAUGGGGAUGGAUGUGGAUGGUUGCAGGAGAGUUGCUAGGGCUGCCGGAGAUACCCGCAUUUAUGGACACGGUGGACGGAGGAGUGGAUAUUCUCCAGGGAGUGAACUAUGCCUCAGCUGCCGGAGGAAUCUUAGAGGAAACCGGUCGACAUCUGGGAGAGAGAUUUAGCAUGGGAAGACAAGUGGAGAACUUCGAAAAGACAUUAAUGGAGAUCAGUAGGAGCUGUUAGUAUAUUUGUGAUGUUGAGUUGUGUAGCUUUGGCAGUUGGAACAUGGACACUCGGUCAGAAUCACAACAGAGGCAAUGAGAGUUUAGGGAGAGAUUCUGAGAUAGUAUUGAAGAUUGAAGAUCAUCAAAGCUACAAGGUACAAGGUGAGCUUGAGUUCUAAAACCCAGUAACAAAGGGGGAGAUUGAAGGUAUGUUUGUAACUGGUUGUUAGACUCAAGAUGAUGGCACAGCUCAAGAGGUGAUAUGAUAACAGGACGUCUGUGUGACACAAGAGUUUUAUGCAGACAACAACAGAGGUAUUGAAACAUCUGUGUGACGCAAGAGUAUCAACAGAAAGUAUCAGAGUUGUGUUCCACAGGCAGCAGCUGUGUAACACAACAGGAGAACUGAACGCAGGAAGAAUCAAGUUGGAAAUGAAUAUGACGUGGCGUGAUUCUAUUGGAGACGUGAUGUUUCCUUUAGUGGUGGCUCGGAUACUUUCGAAUCAAGGAAAAAAGAUUGCGAGAAUAUUUGGAGUUUAGGGUUUUGUCUUGAGUAUAUAUAGAUGGCUGCCGUGACAAAGAAAGGUUGCGCGUCUAUGGUAUAUUUGAGAAAGAGGCACACAUGCGUGUGUGGCGUCGCCCCACCAAGUCAGAUGAAGAUCUGUUGGUGGUAUUCCUUUGGAAUCUGCAGCCGUUAGAGAAGACGGUGAUGCACCGGUGCUGCCGGGUGGUAGUCAAGACAUGCGUGGCUUGGUACUGUUUCCAAAGUUCAUCUAGAAAAGAAUGGUAGGCAUAGUUAUGCUGUAUUAUAUAUCAUACGCAAUUGUAUUUGCAAUCUUGUUCUAGUGGAAUGAUUUCUGGACUAGGUCCCGGGGAUGUAGGUUGUUAACCGAACCCCGUUAACAAAUCUCUGCGUCGUCUUUACUUUAUGCUCUUUACAUUCGCUGCACUCUCCCAUUGUACAAACGCAUAGAUCUAGUACACACAUAGUAACUUCAAUUGGUAUCAGAGCGGGAAACCGAUCUGAGAUUACUAUCUCUAACAGGUUAGAUCUUGGUUGUGUGGCUAGAUGGGUAAAAAGAAGGUAUAUUUGCUGAAAGUACGAUUGAAUUUCUCUGAAAUUGCUUUUGGGAUUGAAGAAGAAAAGAGAAUUGGAGAUUUUGAGGUCUCAAGAUUAUCUCAGUGGAUGAUGGAGGCAGAAUAAAUAUUGAGUUCACCGGAAAUUGCAGGGCUGUGAACAUGAAUCUUCGUGUUUCUCUUCUCGUCGGGAAAGAUAGAAAAAGAUGGCGAGUAUUUUCAUCAUGGGCCGGUUUUGGGAUUUUUGGCCCAGUAUCUUAUUUAAUUUUGAUAAAGCCCCAGAAAAAGCCUAUUGUGAGAAGAAGAGUUGGAAACGUGUUUUGAGUCUCUAAGCGCAACAAAGGGUCUCGAAGGUUCUUUGUGUGAAGGUUUUGCUAAGUUUGGUGAUUGCACACGUGUGAACCUGGUUGGGAAGAUCAGAUUGUUAUUCAAGAAAUUGACAAUUACUCUUGCCGGAUGUGCCUAAUUUGAAAGUGAAGUCCUGUUUUGAGAUUAAGGAAAAAGCUGUAGAAGUUUCGCUAGCUUCCGUAUAUUCGAUGGUAAAGAGAAGUCACAAGAAAUUUGAGUUGCUGAUCGAAUUAUACCCCGCGUCCAGUUGUUUGUUAUUGGUGAAGAAGAGAGACUUAGAGAGUUUAAAGAAAGAAGCAAGCUUCAAGUUUUUUUUGGAUCGUAAUGAGCUUUAGGCGAGAUCUUGUAGUUACCAGAGAGGGAAGAUGAAAAUAAAAGAGCUUGUGGUGAUGAAUACUCACCGGUUUUUGUACUACGCCGGUGAAAAACGGCUUUUGCCGGAACUGUCUUAUAAGUCGACUUGAGCCUCGAGAUCAGAGAAGGAGAGUAGCGUUUGUGUUUCUUGCCACCAUGAAAGAGAAAAUCUCUGUUGCAUAUUAGUGUUUGGUUCCGUCGUAGAAACUGCUGGCCGACGUAUCCUGAUACUAAGAAAGCCUUGUUAAAGUUAUCGGAGAUGUGAAGAGAUGAGUUUUAUUGGUCUCAUGUUGAUGUUGUUUGAUGGGCUGAUCUGAAACUUGGGUCAGCAUUGAGAUUAGAAGAUGGGUCAAUUCCUUCUUAGUCCACAUGUUCAAUAACACGUGUGAGUCUGGUUGAAGAAAUAAGCUUCAAUGCUUGCAGCGACAACCAUGUCGGUGGUGGAGAUUUCCGUUGGUUUUUCAGGUUACAUCGUCGAAAAUGCAGUAGCAAUGACUGGAGUUACAUCUGGUUCUAGUGUCGCUUGUCAGGAGGAAUGGCCAUGGGAGAUUUGCUGCUAUUGAUCUAAAGUCAAUUUCAGGUUUUUGGAAUCACAUCCUAUGUCACUUUCGGAGAAGAAGUCCCAAGGAGGAGAGGAUGUGAAUGCUUUUCGUCUAAAAGAGUGGUCGCAAACUUCGCAAAGGAUAAAAAUCUAAAAUUGAGAUUCUCAGCUUGACAUAUUUCUCUUGCUUGGUUUGAUGCUGUGAUUUGAGGACUGAUGUCAUGUUUGGAGUUUGUUGGUGACGUUUCUGGAUUUUGAGCCUUCUUGAUGGUUUGGGCUGCUUUAGAAUUGUUGAGGUUCCAGAGUUUUGAAGAAUCAUGGGUUUCUUUUGUUCCUUGAAUUGAAGACUGGUUUGCUUAAUUUUCACAAAGAGAUUAUGAUUUGGUCAAGAAAAUUCAGAAACAUGAUUCAUGACUCUACGAGGGUUAUUGUGGUUGGAAGUCAGCUCAUUGAAAGUGAUACAAUGAGAUAACUAAUUGAUUGGCCAUAUUAUUUGUUUCUGAAGCUACGUUCUUUUGGUGUUGCUUUUAUAGAAGCAUUGGGUUUUAAUGGAUGUGUGUUGAUGUAUGUGUCAUGGCUUUUAUUGAGACACACAAUCAACAAGGGGGAGAAGACUGUUGAAACCAAGAGCAAGAAGCUUCAUGGAAAAAGCAAAGAGGUUAGAGAAAGGGAAGUUUGUUCUUGAUCAUGACGCCAACAAUGGUUCUUGAUCUUCAUAAUAAAGAUGCAUCAAAGAUGGAGCCAAUGGAAUAUGGGUUCUUAAAGAUGUUGCUGGUUCUUGUGGAUAUUCAAAGAAUGAUGAGAAAAAGGUUUCAGGUUUCAGAGAGUUUUAUGUCUCAAGGUUGAUAUUUUCGUCCUUGUUUUCUUUGGCUACCAACAUUGGAUUUCGCUUCUGAAAGAUGUUCUGGAAUGUUGAAAGAGAGAUCUUUCCAACGACAUCAAGACCAUCUUCUGUUUCCUUGUAGUUUGAUGGGAAUUCGUCCUCAAAGUUGGCUGCUCGCAG